rnacentral:rRNA from 1 species
AAGGCAUCUUCUAGGAAAGAAAGGAUUUAUUCGGUAAAAGAUGGGCCCGCAUCUGAUUAGCUAGUUGGUGAGAUAAUAGCCCACCAAGGCAACGAUCAGUAGCCGACCUGAGAGGGUGACCGGCCACAUUGGGACUGAGACACGGCCCAAACUCCUACGGGAGGCAGCAGUGGGGAAUAUUGCACAAUGGGGGAAACCCUGAUGCAGCAACGCCGCGUGAAGGAAGACGGUUUUCGGAUUGUAAACUUCUAUCAAUAGGGAAGAAAGGAAUGACGGUACCUAAAUAAGAAGCCCCGGCUAACUACGUGCCAGCAGCCGCGGUAAUACGUAGGGGGCAAGCGUUAUCCGGAAUUACUGGGUGUAAAGGGAGAGUAGGCGGCAAGGUAAGCGAUAUGUGAAAGCCUUAGGCUUAACCUGAGGAUAGCAUAACGAACUAUCUAGCUAGAGUACAGGAGAGGAAAGCGGAAUUCUUAGUGUAGCGGUGAAAUGCGUAGAUAUUAGGAAGAACACCAGUGGCGAAGGCGGCUUUCUGGACUGAAACUGACGCUGAGGCUCGAAAGCGUGGGGAGCGAACAGGAUUAGAUACCCUGGUAGUCCACGCUGUAAACGAUGAGUGCUAGGUGUCGGGGAGGAAUCCUCGGUGCCGGAGCAAACGC